rnacentral:SRP_RNA from 4 species
CCGUGCUAAGCGGGGAGGUAGCGGUGCCCUGUACCCGCAAUCCGCUCUAGCGGGGCCGAAUCCCUUCUCGAGGUUCGUUUACUGUAAGGUCUGCCUUAAGUAAGUGGCGUUGACGUCUGGGUCCUGCGCAAUGGGAAUUCAUGAACCAUGUCAGGUCCGGAAGGAAGCAGCAUUAAGUGAAACCUCUCAUGUGCCGCAGGGUUGCCUGGACUGAGCUAACUGCUUAAGUAACGCUUAGGGUAGCGAAUCGACAGAAGGUGCACGG